AAGAUGGCGACCGGCGCACGGGUGAGUAACACGUAUCCAACCUGCCGAUAACUCUGGAAUAGCCUUUCGAAAGAAAGAUUAAUACCGGAUAGUAUACGAAUAUCGCAUGAUAUUUUUAUUAAAGAAUUUCGGUCAUCGAUGGGGAUGCGUUCCAUUAGGUUGUUGGCGGGGUAACGGCCCACCAAGCCUUCGAUGGAUAGGGGUUCUGAGAGGAAGGUCCCCCACAUUGGAACUGAGACACGGUCCAAACUCCUACGGGAGGCAGCAUG
rnacentral:rRNA from 1 species